rnacentral:misc_RNA from 1 species
GAUGAAGAACGUAGCGAAAUGCGAUAAGUAAUGUGAAUUGCAGAAUUCAGUGAAUCAUCGAAUCUUUGAACGCACAUUGCGCCCGCCAGCAUUCUGGCGGGCAUGCCUGUUCGAGCGUCAUUUCAACCCUCGAGCCCCCCCGGGGGCCUCGGUGUUGGGGGACGGCACACCAGCCGCCCCCGAAAUGCAGUGGCGACCCCGCCGCAGCCUCGCCUGCGUAGUAGCACACACCUCGCACCGGAGCGCGGAGGCGGUCACGCCGUAAAACGCCCAACUUUCUUAGAGUUGACCUCGGAUCAGGUAGGAAUACCCGCUGAACUUAAGCAUAUCAAUAAGCGGAGGA